rnacentral:ncRNA from 1 species
CUCUGACCUAGCAAAUAGUUCAGGGCGAGAGGAG